AUUGAACGCUGGCGGCAUGCUUUACACAUGCAAGUCGAACGGCAGCGCGGGCUUCGGCCUGGCGGCGAGUGGCGAACGGGUGAGUAAUGCAUCGGAACGUGCCCAGUAGUGGGGGAUAGCCCGGCGAAAGCCGGAUUAAUACCGCAUACGACCUGAGGGUGAAAGCGGGGGACCGAAAGGCCUCGCGCUAUUGGAGCGGCCGAUGUCGGAUUAGCUAGUUGGUGGGGUAAAGGCUUACCAAGGCGACGAUCCGUAGCUGGUCUGAGAGGACGACCAGCCACACUGGGACUGAGACACGGCCCAGACUCCUACGGGAGGCAGCAGUGGGGAAUUUUGGACAAUGGGGGCAACCCUGAUCCAGCCAUGCCGCGUACGGGAAGAAGGCCUUCGGGUUGUAAACCGCUUUUGUUCGGGAAGAAAUCCUCUGGGCUAAUACCCCGGGGGGAUGACGGUACCGGAAGAAUAAGCACCGGCUAACUACGU
rnacentral:rRNA from 1 species